rnacentral:rRNA from 1 species
CAGCCGCCGCGGGAAUACCGAGGGUGCGAGCGUUAAUCGGAUUUACUGGGCGUAAAGCGUGCGUAGGCGGCUUCUUAAGUCGGAUGUGAAAUCCCUGAGCUUAACUUAGGAAUUGCAUUCGAUACUGGGAAGCUAGAGUAUGGGAGAGGAUGGUAGAAUUCCAGGUGUAGCGGUGAAAUGCGUAGAGAUCUGGAGGAAUACCGAUGGCGAAGGCAGCCAUCUGGCCUAAUACUGACGCUGAGGUACGAAAGCAUGGGGAGCAAACAGGAUUAGAGACCCCUGUAGUCCCUGUCUCUUAUAC